rnacentral:lncRNA from 1 species
CUCACCAAUAUUAAUAACACAAGGUUUUCCGCACGUCGCAAUUUGCUCCUUCCUAAAAUUCGAACUAACUAUGGGAAAUUUACUGUCAUGUUUUCAGGUAUAUCAUUGUGGAAUUCGAUUCCGUCCGAUAUCAAAUCAUGUGCAUUUGAAGCCUUCAAGCGUAAAACUAAGGCAUAUUAUAUUAACUCAUUACAGAACUCCUAGUAUUUUUAUUGUGCGAUGUAAACGUUAUUAAAUAUAUUUUUAUUGCACUGUUCCUAAUUUUCUUUUUAUAUUUUGUAUUUUUAAUUGUUUUUUCUGUCCCUAUCUAUUACUUUACAGCAUUGCUUGUUCCCCAUGCUACCACCACCUAGUUUCGUAUUAAAACGCUGCAUGAAAUACUGCUGA